ACUAUUUUAGCAGCUCUUUGACCUUUUUAAAAGCUUGUGUCUGUAAAAUGUGAACCAAAUAUUUGGCUUUAUAGUAAAGAGAGAAAUAGUAAGAAUGUUAAGUAAUUUUAGUCAGUACGAUGGUAUGUAAAUGAAACGUGGAGGAUGGUGGCAAUAAGUUGAUUUUUCCAUAUACCAAAACCACAGGCCCACCACCUAACAAAGCUCUGUUUCUGUUACACAUCAGCAUCUGAGGGUAGAAGAGGAGGAGGGACUGGGACAAAGCUGCACUGAUCCUACCCGUCCAGGGAUGAUAUCAGCUCAUCUGCAUAGCCAUCUGAAAGUUUAGUACAUGCUGUCUCAUCAGAAAAGAACACUCUGUGACAUUUAUGAGUUCCAAUGCAAAAGUUAAGCAUUGAACAGAUUUUCCUUAACAUUUGAUUAAAACAGUGUUAAACUUUACUUCACUAAUCUAUUGGAAACAGACAUUUGUCAUCUUCAGCUAUAUUUUCCAUCUGCGUAAGUUACAUUCUUGUAGUACAGCUGACAUCUAAGUAAAUCUCACCGGCCAAACUCAUCACAUCUUUUUUAUUAAAAAUAUGUCCCCUUGGAGUUCCCGUUGUGGCGCAGCAGAAAAAAGAAAACUCAUAUUUCCAAAACAUGCCCUUUAGAGGUUGCAUUGGCUGAGCGGUGGGGGAUGGUUUUAAGCGCUUGUAUAGGCAAUUAUAACAUAUACUUUGCUUCUGCUGUCUCCAGAGGAAAAUCCUGAAAUGACACACAAAAUAAUUUUUUUCAGAUAUAAGAGGUUCAGAAUUGUGAAGAGCUGCUAUCCUAAAAAGAAUUCAUAGAGCCAAAUCUUAGUGAUCUGGGCCCUCUUCUCUAAAGGUAUGAACAGCUCUUACAUUAGUGUUUAAUACCUGGAACACACAUGUGAUGGUCAAUAUUCACUUAACAGUCUUCUAGACUUAAAGAAUAAGCCUAAACUUGUUCCAUUUAACUGAAGCUAAAAGGCUUUGGAAUCAGAAAAAAAAAAAUUUUUUUUUAAGUGUUCC
rnacentral:lncRNA from 1 species